rnacentral:rRNA from 1 species
GUGUCAGCCGCCGCGGUAAUACGUAGGGUGCAAGCGUUAAUCGGAAUUACUGGGCGUAAAGCGUGCGCAGGCGGUUAUGCAAGACAGAGGUGAAAUCCCCGGGCUCAACCUGGGAACUGCCUUUGUGACUGCAUAGCUAGAGUGCGGCAGAGGGGGAUGGAAUUCCGCGUGUAGCAGUGAAAUGCGUAGAUUUGCGGAGGAACACCGAUGGCGAAGGCAAUCCCCUGGGCCUGCACUGACGCUCAUGCACGAAAGCGUGGGGAGCAAACAGGAUUAGAUACCCUGGUAGUCCACGCCCUAAACGAUGUCAACUGGUUGUUGGGAGGGUUUCUUCUCAGUAACGUAGCUAACGCGUGAAGUUGACCGCCUGGGGAGUACGGCCGCAAGGUUGAAACUUAAAUGAAUUGACGG